rnacentral:rRNA from 1 species
GAUGAACGCUGGCGGCGUGCCUAAUACAUGCAAGUCGAGCGAACCACUUCGGUGGUGAGCGGCGAACGGGUGAGUAACACGUAGGUGAUCUGCCCAUCAGACGGGGACAACGAUUGGAAACGAUCGCUAAUACCGGAUAGGACGAAAGUUUAAAGGUGCUUCUGGCACCGCUGAUGGAUGAGCCUGCGGCGCAUUAGCUAGUUGGUAGGGUAAAGGCCUACCAAGGCAACGAUGCGUAGCCGACCUGAGAGGGUGAACGGCCACACUGGGACUGAGACACGGCCCAGACUCCUACGGGAGGCAGCAGUAGGGAAUCUUCGGCAAUGGGCGAAAGCCUGACCGAGCAACGCCGCGUGAAUGAUGAAGGCCUUCGGGUUGUAAAAUUCUGUUAUAAGGGAAGAGCGACUUUAGUAGGAAAUGGCUAGAGUGUGACGGUACCUUAUGAGAAAGCCACGGCUAACUAUGUGCCAGCAGCCGCCGCAG